UAAAGAAAUACAUAUGUUUAACAUGUGGAUGUAAUACUUAAGUGUUUCGUACUUAAAAAUGAUGACUAACCUUGUUAACAUAAAAGUUGCCCUUUUUUCUUUAAAGGUCAUAUGCACCUUUUGUGUUGAGAAAAGAUCUUUGAACCAUAAGCAAAGGGCCAGAGGGAGUAGUGAGGGAGGUUUGGGGGUUGUCUCAGUCUGUCCAAGGCUUUCACCAAUUACUCCUUUUUCUCUGUGAUUUGUCUUACUGAUACGUCUGAAAAUUGCUCAGAUGGGAUGAACCCAGACUCUGGCCUCCAAAGCUCCUGGGUGGUCAGUCUAUCAGCAGACACCAACUAUCUCCCUCAGCAUCAGUGUCACACCAGAGCCCUAAUCUAUUUGGCAAGCAAACGCCAUUGUUGUCAUUAGUCUCUGGAAGGCCUCUUGGGGGUCAGGAGUAGCUUGUUUGGUUACUGAGGCAGACAGAGCUGGCCCUAGAGGAACAUGAGGGUGAGGGUCAGUGUGGGUGUCUAAUGUGGCUUCAUGACUGACUGUUAUAUGACAUUAGAGUGUGUGAGAGCCUUGCUCGACACUAACAUAUGCGUAUGUUAUACAGCCCAGUCUUUAUUGCCAUUGUUGCUAUGGUGUUAUCACAUGGAGUUGCUGACAGAUGUUGGACCAGGCUGAAUGAAAUUGAUGUCUGAAUCUAAUGUGGACUGGGUGUUGCGUCGGUAUUGUUUACACCCAACCAAUGAGAAUUGCUGGGAAUUUGUGUGUGUGUCUCUCAUGCUUUGAGCAUGAUCAUUUACAGCUUUUUCAUCACAAAAUCUAUUUGAACGUGUUUUUCUACUUUGACAUUUAUAUUAUGCUCACAUGUGUUAGUUAUCAGGAGAAGAGGUCCUGUGUAGACCUGUGAUAUCUUGCAGCUUGCAUGUCCCAUGGACAUAUGCAUGGACACCUUAGCCUCAAACAGAAUAGAAACACACUGGGUUCAUAUAAUUAACUAUAUGCAGACAAAGAGACUAUUAGCCAUAAAUACCUAAAAGAAACAAAAGAAUGACACAAGGAGUCAAAGACAUCUGGAUCCCUUACAGGCAUACCCCGUAUCCUGGCAAAGAAACCAGCAUCAGCUUUACAUUUCAUCAGACCACCACACUACCACUACCACCGCAAGCAAUUAGUUCAGCAUGGCUUAUAUCUUGCCCUGUCUCUUUCCCUGUGGGAA